rnacentral:lncRNA from 1 species
GCUUCAUGGUCUCCAGUCAGUUCAGUUACGAAAGUUCGAAAACACGACUUGUUUAGCAAAUUCAAUCUUGAUUCAGGAACUUCAAUGGCAACCCCUCAUGUAGCUGGCGUCGCCGCCCUUGUAAAGAAGAUGCAUCCAGAUUGGAGCCCUGCAGCCAUUAGAUCUGCCCUUAUGACAUCUGCAAAUCCAUUAGAUAACACUAACAGCCCCAUUAAAGAUGAAGCAGAUGAUAAAAUACCUGCAGCCACACCUCUAGAUAUUGGAGCUGGACAUAUAGAUCCUAACAAGGCACUUGAACCAGGGCUUAUUUAUGAUGCCAAAACAGAAGAUUACAUAAAGUUUCUCUGUGCGAUGAACUUGAC